GAUGAACGCUGGCGGCGUGCUUAACACAUGCAAGUCGAACGGGAAACCUUUUAUUGAAGCUUCGGCAGAUUUAGCUGGUUUCUAGUGGCGGACGGGUGAGUAACGCGUGGGUAACCUGCCUUAUACAGGGGGAUAACAACCAGAAAUGGUUGCUAAUACCGCAUAAGCGCACAGGACCGCAUGGUCCGGUGUGAAAAACUCCGGUGGUAUAAGAUGGACCCGCGUUGGAUUAGCUAGUUGGCAGGGUAACGGCCUACCAAGGCGACGAUCCAUGGCCGGCCUGGGAGGGGGAACGGCCACAUUGGGACUGAGACACGGCCCAGACUCCUACGGGAGGCAGCAGUGGGGAAUAUUGCACAAUGGGGGAAACCCUGAUGCAGCGACGCCGCGUGAAGGAAGAAGUAUCUCGGUAUGUAAACUUCUAUCAGCAGGGAAGAUAGUGACGGUACCUGACUAAGAAGCCCCGGCUAACUACGUG
rnacentral:rRNA from 1 species